UUAAUGGAGAGUUUGAUCCUGGCUCAGGACGAACGCUGGCGGCGUGCCUAAUACAUGCAAGUCGAGCGGAUCUGUUCCUUCGGGGAUAGGUUAGCGGCGGACGGGUGAGUAACACGUAGGCAACCUGCCUGUAAGAUCGGGAUAACUACCGGAAACGGUAGCUAAGACCGGAUAGCUGGUUUCUUCGCAUGGAGAGAUCAUGAAACAUGGGGCAACCUAUGACUUACAGAUGGGCCUGCGGCGCAUUAG
rnacentral:ncRNA from 1 species